rnacentral:lncRNA from 1 species
GAGCUGGGCUGCCAAAGGGAUUUGCAACAGAAUUGGCCUCUGGGGGAAAGUUUUCAAUUAGUUCAUUAUUCCAACCUUUUACAAAGCAGAAUCCGAAAAUUCACAGGCCGAAUUGUAUCAGCUCAUCUGUGUACUGAGGAAGCGUAUAAUGCGGUGGAAGUUCUCACACAGACUUUUGAAUUGAACUAAGCUACACAAAAAUUCAAACUUUGGAGUGCAGACAAAGCAACCAACUGUGCAAGACUACCCACAGCUGAGGGAUGCGGGGAUUUCAACGCUAAACUGGACUAUCCUCAGAAAAUGAUGACAGGCAGUUACCCUAGGAGUAGAAUGUAGUAUCCUGAAACAAAACGGAUGCUUUGUUUUGUAAAUUUACAAAUUUGGCAAAAUAUACUUCUCAAAAACAAAAUAGGCAUGAACAUCAGAGUAAAAUAACAAGACACAAUUAUACAUAAAUCUUCAAUGGUCUAAUCAGAAAUCCAUUUCUGAUAUAAUAACAAUAAAAUUUUGAUAAAUUUCCUUUCAAUGUAACUAUGAAAACCAGGAUAUUUUUUCCUAUUUUGGUGGGAAGGAGAUAAAUCCAUAGCAAAAGUUUUAAAAACUUCCUACAUCUCACAGAGCCAUCACAGGUAUUAAGGGUCCUGAAUGUUCCAAUUCAAAUCAUGAAGUAUUUGCCCCACGAUACCCAGCUUCAUCCCCCCAGGCAUCAAUAUGAGACUGAAGCUUCAUGCUGGGAGCCAGGAUGCUUGGACGUAAUGGCACCCGCAGUAGAACCACGUCAUAAGGUGCUCAAGACAUGCUGUCAUCUGAGCCUCUAGCAAAGCAUUUGCUAAUGACCACCUUAUCCUAUGCUUGGACUUACUCCAUCAAAAGCUGUUUGUGCCAUCUCAGACCAGACCAUCGUGACCGCACCACUCCACUGCCUUGCGACACACAAGAAGUGCAGUAGAGCAGCUCCCCUCCAACCAACGACUAGGGAUCCAGGCCGCGCCCAUCUUACGGCUGUAAGGAUGCCCCCUUAUCAUCCUCCGGGCAGACGAAGGGGAAGAGAGCGUGUGGACGGAAGGCCCUCUGGAUGUGUAACUAUUGUCCAGGACUAGUCACUUUUCAUCAGAUAACACGUCCAAGUUUCUGUUGGAGCUAAAAAUAUGAGAUGCUGAGUUAAGAACCAGCUUUGGGCAGUUAAUUCAGCAAUGUGUGGGUAGUAAGAGAUACCGAGAGAAUUACCUAAUUUUGGACAUAUAUGUUUACUAUUCAGGGGGAAAUGAGAUCUCUGACUUUGGAGACAUCUCUAAAUCAUAAAAGUUGGAGGCGAAGUUACUUAUAUGGUUAUUAAAGAGAUGCAUUUGUAUUUUAAAUGGUUAGAAUGAGGAGCCAAGUGUCUGUCUAUCCCAAUUCCAAGGAGAAAAGCUUCCUCUGGGAAAGGAGGAGGCAGGAGCUGUCCCUUUCUCCUCUUCAUAAGCAGAGAAAAGAGGGAGGUGGGAGGGGGGUUCAGGAUGGGGAGCACAUGAACACCUAUGGCUGAUUCAUGUCAGUGUAUGGC